rnacentral:rRNA from 1 species
GAUGAACGCUGGCGGCGUGCCUAAUACAUGCAAGUCGAGCGAACAGACGAGGAGCUUGCUCCUCUGACGUUAGCGGCGGACGGGUGAGUAACACGUGGAUAACCUACCUAUAAGACUGGGAUAACUUCGGGAAACCGGAGCUAAUACCGGAUAAUAUAUUGAACGGCAUGGUUCAAUAGUGAACGACGGUUUUGCUGUCACUUAUAGAUGGAUCCGCGCCGCUUUAGCAAGUUGGUAAGGUAACGGCUUACCAAGGCAACGAUGCGUAGCCGACCUGAGAGGUGGAUCGGCCAAACGGAAACUGAGAACCGGUCCAGACUCCACGGGGGGGAAGCGUUAGGAAAUCUGCAGCAAGGGGCGAAGGCCGGACGGGGCAACGCGGGGGGGGUGAUGAAGGUCUUCGGAUCGUAAAACUCUGUUAUUAGGAAAGAACAAAUGUGUAAGUAACUAUGCACGUCUGGAGGGUACCUAAUCAGAAAGCCACGGCUAACUACGU